rnacentral:misc_RNA from 1 species
UAGCCAAGGCUACAAUCUUACUAUAGAUAUACAUAUAGUAAAAAUAGUCCUAUAGUUUUAUAUUCUGGUUUUUGUCUAACAUAGUUGCUUUUAGUUACUUUAAAUGUUUAAGUUGCAUGAUCUUUCAGCCAAUGUAUUUAGCAUUAAUGGAAUGAAUCAACUGUUUCUAGUUUUAUAUAGACAUAUGCUGAUAUAUAGAGAAAAUCUUUUAGCUGGCUUGA